rnacentral:snoRNA from 1 species
GUAUGGGUUUGGAUUUAUGGCAGAACCAUCCUCCUGGCCUCUCAUAGCAUCCCAGGCCAGAGCAAACUGUGGCUCUGAACCACUGUCUGGCCUCUGCCUGGAGGCUAGUGGCACUGAAAUGGGUUGCACAGUG